ACAAGAGCUUUACUGCGUUACUUGAAAUAGUAAAGGACAUGCUUCCAGAUGGUAAUGAACUUCCCAAUAGUACGUAUGAUGCCAAAAAGAUUUUGUGUCUAAUGGGUAUGGGAUAUACAAAGAUACAUGCUUGCCCUAACGAUUGCAUAUUGUUUAGGAAUGAUUACAAAGACUUGCAUGCAUGUCCAAUAUGUGGGGCAUCUCGUUAUAAAACAAGCGAGAAUGUUGCUGGUAAAGUACGUUUGAAAAGAUCAAAGGAUUUCUGAUGGCAAGCUUCGACACCCGGCUGAUUCUUCUCAAUGGAUAACAUUUGAUAAUGCAUUUCCUGAAUUUGGUCACGAGGCGAGAAAUCUUAGACUUGGACUUUGUACUGAUGGUAUUAACCCCCACGGGAAUCUAAGUAG